rnacentral:rRNA from 1 species
AGUUUGAUCAUGGCUCAGAACGAACGUUGGCGGCGUGCUUAACACAUGCAAGUCGAGCGAGAAGCCGGACUUCGGUCUGGUGGAGAGCGGCGCACGGGUGAGUAACACGUGGGUAAUCUGCCCCGAGGCCUGGGAUAACUCUCCGAAAGGAGGGCUAAUACCGGAUAUUCCUGCUUGCAGGGAAAGCUCCGGCGCCUCGGGAUGAGCCCGCGUCCCAUUAGGUAGNUGGUGGGGUAAGANCCUACCAAGCCGAAGAUGGGUAGCUGGUCUGAGAGGAUGAUCAGCCACACUGGGACUGAGACACGGCCCAGACUCCUACGGGAGGCAGCAGUGGGGAAUCUUGCGCAAUGGACGAAAGUCUGACGCAGCAACGCCGCGUGGGUGAUGAAGGNCUUCGGGUCGUAAAGCCCUGUCANAAGGGAAGAUAAUGACGGUACCUUCGAAGGAAGCACUGGCUAACUCCGUGCCAGCAGCCGCGGUAAUACGGAGAGUGCAAACGUUGUUCGGAAUCAUUGGGCGUAAAGCGCACGUAGGCGGCUAUGUAGGUCGGGUGUGAAAUCCCGGGGCUCAACCUCGGAAUUGCGCUCGAAACCCCGUAGCUAGAGUCAUGGAGGGAGAAGUGGAAUUCCUGGUGUAGGGUGAAAU